rnacentral:rRNA from 1 species
UGCCAGCCGCCGCGGUAACACGGGGGGCGCAAGCGUUAUUCGGAAUUAUUGGGCGUAAAGCGUGCGUAGGCGGCGAGGUAAGUCAGAUGUGAAAGCUCAGGGCUCAACCCUGAAAUUGCAUCCGAUACUGCCUUGCUAGAGUAAUGGAGGGGAGUCUGGAAUUCAUGGUGUAGCAGUGAAAUGCGUAGAUAUCAUGAGGAACACUAGUGGCGAAGGCGAGACUCUGGACAUUUACUGACGCUCAGGCACGAAGGCUAGGGUAGCGAAGCGGAUUAGAUA